UACGUGAGGGUGCAAGCGUUAUCCGGAAUUAUUGGGCGUAAAGAGCUCGUAGGCGGUUUGUCGCGUCUGCUGUGAAAACCCGAGGCUCAACCUCGGGCCUGCAGUGGGUACGGGCAGACUAGAGUGCGGUAGGGGAGAUUGGAAUUCCUGGUGUAGCGGUGGAAUGCGCAGAUAUCAGGAGGAACACCGAUGGCGAAGGCAGAUCUCUGGGCCGUUACUGACGCUGAGGAGCGAAAGCAUGGGGAGCGAACAGG
rnacentral:rRNA from 1 species